rnacentral:rRNA from 1 species
GGGACACGUGGUAUCCUGUCUGAAUAUGGGGGGACCAUCCUCCAAGGCUAAAUACUCCUGACUGACCGAUAGUGAACCAGUACCGUGAGGGAAAGGCGAAAAGAACCCCGGCGAGGGGAGUGAAAAAGAACCUGAAACCGUGUACGUACAAGCAGUGGGAGCCUCUUUAUGGGGUGACUGCGUACCUUUUGUAUAAUGGGUCAGCGACUUAUAUUCUGUAGCAAGGUUAACCGUAUAGGGGAGCCGAAGGGAAACCGAGUCUUAACUGGGCGUUAAGUUGCAGGGUAUAGACCCGAAACCCGGUGAUCUAGCCAUGGGCAGGUUGAAGGUUGGGUAACACUAACUGGAGGACCGAACCGACUAAUGUUGAAAAAUUAGCGGAUGACCUGUGGCUGGGGGUGAAAGGCCAAUCAAACCGGGAGAUAGCUGGUUCUCCCCGAAAGCUAUUUAGGUAGCGCCUCGUGAACUCAUCUUCGGGGGUAGAGCACUGUUUCGGCUAGGGGGCCAUCCCGGCUUACCAACCCGAUGCAAACUACGAAUACCGAAGAAUGUUAUCACGGGAGACACACGGCGGGUGCUAACGUCCGUCGUGAAGAGGGAAACAACCCAGACCGCCAGCUAAGGUCCCAAAGUCAUGGUUAAGUGGGAAACGAUGUGGGAAGGCACAGACAGCCAGGAUGUUGGCUUAGAAGCAGCCAUCAUUUAAAGAAAGCGUAAUAGCUCACUGGUCGAGUCGGCCUGCGCGGAAGAUGUAACGGGGCUAAACCAUGCACCGAAGCUGCGGCAG